GGCACGUAGUCUAGUUUCAAAUGCUGCUUUGUGAGGCAAAACACUUUGGAAAAUAUUGUACUCAGGAGGGAUUCUGAGGGACUAAUUACUUAUUUUUGUCUUAUAUGACUAUAUAAUUUUGAGCAUGGAUCUGUGCUGCUGCUACUGCUUGUAAAAAACUUGCCACCAGACAGAGAUAGUCUUCCCCCCAGGACCACCAUUGCACUGCUUCUUGUUGUUUGGUGCAACAAAAAGUGCCUGGAGAUGUGAUGGACACAUUCCUUCACAUCUUUCCCUGAUGCUUCUGGAUGAAGUUGCAGAACCCAUCAAUAAUAGAAAAUGCUGACAUAAUGAUAUAUUGCAGCA